AAAUCCUGAGAAUACAACUGUGAUCAAAACAGCCUAACUUGGCUUAUCCAUUCCACUCCGGAUGUGCUGACCCCUGCGAUUUCCCCAAAUGCGGGAAACUUGACUGCAUAAUUUGUGGUAGUGGGGGACUGUGUUUGAGGGGGAAAAAAAACAAUAAAACAGCCUA
rnacentral:snRNA from 1 species